AGAGUCUGACUCCAGCUUUAAGCGGGACUCUGAGUCUGAGGCCCUCUGAGUCUCUGGGUCCAGGGUCCCACGGCGCCUGGCCCCGCCCUCGCUUGCCCGGCUCUGCUGUUCCCUGAAGUCCUUCCUCCCGCCCGCUCCGCUCGCUGCACGCGGCGCUGUGCGACUCGACUCCCCGGUCCCUUAGGUCCCUCCGCGUCCACUCGCGGCGGCCGGAAGCUGAAGUGAGGACACGCGCGAAUCUCCACGCGGCUCUUCUGAGAACCUGAAGCCCUAACUCAGUUCAGCUCCUCCCUCCGAGCGUGCACAAGGGUCCCUCCAUGUUCCGAGGCUCUCUGAUCACCGAGCACAUGACCUACAGGACCUAUUGACCGCCUGAAUGCCCCUCGAAGGAAAAACUGUCCGUGAACAAAGGCCAGAAGCUUCUAGAAUCAGACCCCAGGCCGAGAGCUCAGGAAUCCUUCAGUCUAGCUGGGAAGAAAGGCACCUUAUGACACUCAGCCUCGAGCAGUGGAAGCUAUUGCCAGAGUCGCGCGCGGUGUCCCUGUGUCCCCAAGAGCUUUGCACCGGGCGGGCUACCCAGAGCCUCUAGACGGGAUCUGCUCCCUCAGUCCCCCCCUCAAGUCCCCCACAGAAUGGCUGUCCAGAGUGGCCGGGGACCCGACAGGCAGCUACCUGCAAAGGGAUCUUUUCCACCUUUUCUGGCCACUCGUCCUCUCCCCAAAGGACUCAGAACUCCCCUGAACCCAGCCCAGUGUGCACAGACUCCUAUCCCCUGUGCUUGCAAAUCCCGUGGCCUCGGGCACCCCACCGAUCCCAGGGAAUGCUCACUCCAGGAGUGCAGGCAGGCCACUGAGGCUUGGCGACACGUACCCGCACAGGCGGAGGGAUACGGUGACUGCCCCCACCCCAUAUUCCCGGAAGUGGCCAAGGAAGCGCCUGUGAGAGAAAUUAUCCUUUCGGACCUGGAAGGAGGGGAGCCUGCAAGAUUGUAGACUUUUCCUCCCGUUUUCAAACGGACCCUACCAUGCAGAAGUUGUUUAGACAAUGUGAUUUUCAGCAAGCAUAACCGUAGUCUGAAGCUAUUUUUAAGACAAGGAAAGAUGGUAUUUAUUUUUCAUUUUUCAAUAAAGGCACAGAAAAGUACGUCACAAAUGAGUAACUGCUCAGCAGGCACCCUUCAGUUUCUUCUUCUUUUCUCCUAGUGUUUUUCCGCACCGCUAGAAUUCUCUCUGAGCUGCAGGAAGCCUUCGACGAUUUUCUUAUUCAUUAGACGACUCAAUGAAAUGUUAAAAUAUUUAUUUUUGAAUAAUCAUUCCCCACUACCACCCUUUUGCCUGGAGAUUCGCACAAAACCUGCCCCUUUAUUCGGUGUAAUACCGAUGCUAAGCAUGGGCAAUCAGCCUCAUCCAGUUGCUUUCAAAGGUAAAUGUUUGCAACUGCUGGCUGCGUCUGCACCAGCCAGUUCUCUUCCAGCACUUGGUAAUUCCAUUACCAGUGUGGACUAUAUCAGGCUUGAAUUCACUUGUGAUUAUUUUCUGGGAAAAAAAAUUCUAAGUUUUCCAGCUAUUGCAAGUAGGAUUUUUGUUUAUUUUUAAAACUUGAGUUAAGUCGUUCAUAAAAUAGUAGCCAUUUACUACCUGUGAGCUCAAUUAAAGCUACCCCAGGUUUCAGACUCCCAUGCAAGUCGUAUCCAUGCUUACUGUGUAGUCAGUGGCAGUCUGGAUUCUCUGAUAACCCUGAUAUUUAAAACCACUCUGACAGGGUGUCACUUCAAAACACACAUUUGAAAAGCAUUGCUAAAAUACAUUUACGUAUCAAUAAAAUGUCUUACUCUC
rnacentral:lncRNA from 1 species